rnacentral:rRNA from 1 species
GACGAACGCUGGCGGCGUGCUUAACACAUGCAAGUCGAACGGACAGGCCCUGCUUUUGUGGGGUGCUCGAGUGGCGAACGGGUGAGUAACACGUGAGUAACCUGCCCUUGACUUUGGGAUAACUUCAGGAGACUGGGGCUAAUACCGGAUAGGAGCUCCUGCUGCAUGGUGGGGGUUGGAGAGAUUCGGCGGUUGGGGAUGGUCUCGCGGCUUAUCAGCUUGUUGGUGAGGUAGUGGCUUACCAGGGCUAUGACGGGUAGCCGGCCUGAGAGGGUGACCGGCCACAUUGGGACUGAGAUACGGCCCAGACUCCUACGGGAGGCAGCAGUGGGGAACAUUGCACAAUGGGCGGAAGCCUGAUGCAGCAACGCCGCGUGCGGGAUGACGGCCUUCGGGUGGUAAACCGCUUUCGCCGGUGACGAAGAGUGCGUGACGGUAAUGGGUAAAGAGGCACCGGCUAACUACGUG